CCUUGAAGUAAGCUUAAUUUUAAGACCAAUUUUGUGUUUGGCUUAGUUUCGUUCGACUAAAGACUACUCGAGUCAUUUUCUAGGAAAAGAAACUGCAUUUUGUUUCUUCUUCCUGCUUUUUGUAGUUGUUCACAGCCUCGACAAGACCUUCUUGUACCUCAUAUUUCGCCUAGUCACGCAAAAUAUUAUCUAAAUUCGGAAACCUUAGGGGAAGUGUUUCAUUGGCGUCAUCUAUGCGUCUGUCCUCUAAUAGAUCAUAGGUGAGAACCAAUCAAAAUGCGAGAAUAAUUUGACUUACUAUUGCGUUCGACGCUAGGAGAACGCAUAUUAAUCGCUUCAUUCUCGCGGGUUUAUGUCCCGCGAUUUUCCGCGAUGCCAGAUGAUUUCAGGGUUUGGACGCCAUUUUGGACUGGCUUUUUGGCACACAUAGCCUCGGUCUGACGUGAUGCCUCACUUUGAAUAAUAGUGAGGUCUUACACGAAGUGCUACCCGUGCAUUUCCGUGUGCUUUUCUUCGUUCGUUGUUCUACGUAGGAAUCGUCGCAGUUUUCCCCAAGGAGUCAGCUGCUUUUCUCGGCGAUUCAACUUCUCUGUGAGAAUGAAGUUGCAACACUCACUCAUCCUCAUGGACCCAUGAGGACUCUUGAGGCCGGAAUGAAGUUGCAAGGCUCGACCGUAAUAGCUCGAAUAAAUCAACACGACUUCAUUGAUCAUGGGAAAGACAGCAAAUAUUCCAACGUAGCACAGCAAACGACGAAAAAAAAUGGCAAUGCACCCCACUCAAGGGUUUCCACUGCAGUACCAGAAACAUAUUUAACCUUACUAAACGAUGCGCCAGCUAGAGUUAUGUGACAUGUGAUGCUAAUAAAGGACACAAGAAUUAAACAACACCCUGAAGAAUACACAACUUGGAAAACCCUGAAAGCGGAAGGACAUAAAUGGGCUUUAGUAUGCGCUGCUGUCAAGGGUAUGCUUUUCCAGCAGUUUGCUUUGGGUAUAGGAAUCAGGAUCUGGCAAAACAGUCGUGGAUCUUGAUAUAAAAAGAAUUGAGUUUCUGAUUUGUUUUUAUUAAAUAUAGUAUGCAAUAUUAUUUAGCAUGAAAUAUUAAUAGAUAAGGUAUUUCUGGUACUAAGCCUACAAUUAGAUGUCCAAAUACUAACUGAAUAUCCGCUGCUAUAUCCCAAUCAAAGGAGACCUAUGGCCAAACUCGUGGAUUAAGUAAUCUAGGGAUGAAACAUGUUGGCGAACGUGCAAUUAUUGGUGUAUUAUUAAAGGUGGUUAAAACAUGCUGGGUUUGUACCACGCAAGGUCACACUUAUCUCACAAAGCGUAGGCUUUUUUCGUUGGCUUUUGUUGCACACAUAUUACAAACACAUACGUCCAGAAUAGCUAAGGUGGCAAAAUUGCAGCUGAACAUGAAGUGGUAAAGCUUAAGGGUUCUUGGGUAACAGAGGACACUCCUACCAAAAAAUUCAUAGAGUACUCUUUGUCUGUCUGCUGGGAAAAUUUCCAUGUAUUCAGGUCGUACGAGCUUACACGCCUUUUUCAUUGCAUUUCACUCAAGGCUAUAGGUAAGGUUUCUUACGAGAGAGCACUUCUUUUCCAAUGUGGGACUGCUUGUCUCUCUAUAUAUUGCAUGUAAAAUAGAUCAAAAUAAGUAGCCUCUUUUGCAAGCAUCUUCAGUGUUGAUCCAAAAAAUCUGUCGAUCCAUAAAUACGUGUUCCAACAAGCUCACAGAGGGUUUCUUUCCCUUUGUUAUAUUUUCAGUCAGGAAGCAAAAGUAUAAACAAAGGAAAGGGUAAAAAUCAUUUAAGCAUAUCAAAAUUAAGUAUUUGGGAAUUUUUUUCUCCAAGCCGGAUUAUGUGCAUUUCA